rnacentral:rRNA from 1 species
GGGGAAUAUUGGACAAUGGGCGCAAGCCUGAUCCAGCCAUGCCGCGUGAGUGAUGAAGGCCUUCGGGUUGUAAAGCUCUUUCAGAUGGGACGAUGAUGACGGUACCAUCAGAAGAAGCCCCGGCUAACUUCGUGCCAGCAGCCGCGGUAAUACGAAGGGGGCUAGCGUUGUUCGGAAUUACUGGGCGUAAAGCGCGCGUAGGCGGCUUUGUCAGUCAGGGGUGAAAUCCCGGGGCUUAACCUCGGAACUGCCCUUGAUACUGCAAGGCUUGAGUCUGUGAGAGGAUGGUGGAAUACCCAGUGUAGAGGUGAAAUUCGUAGAUAUUGGGUGGAACACCAGUGGCGAAGGCGGCCAUCUGGCACAGUACUGACGCUGAGGUGCGAAAGCGUGGGGAGCAAAC